AGCAGACGCCAAACAGGAAGGGACAGUGUUUGAAGGGCGUUCGUAUGCAGUUGCUUUAUUUAACCUGGAUUUUCGCUGAAUAAGACGGUGACACAGGUGGUGGUGCAAGCUUGGUGCCUGCCGGGAAGUAGUUGGAAGUGCUAGGAACUGCUCACAAGGGCCAGGGAAGCUCAUAAUACUGGACCGUCCCGUGCGUGAGACCCACCAUCGGCACAGGCGGUGACAGCUGAUCACAGGUAAACAUGUCAGCGGAGGUUGAGGAAACCCUUAAGAGGAUCCAGUCCCACAAGGGCGUGGUUGGAGUCAUUGUGGUCAACUCAGAAGGCAUCCCCAUCAAGAGCACGCUGGACAACCCCACCACCAUCCAGUACACCGGCCUCAUCAGCGGACUCACGGACAAGGCACGCAGUGUGGUGAGGGACCUCGACCCAACCAACGACCUCACAUUCUUACGCGUACGUUCCAAGAAGCACGAAAUUAUGAUUGCUCCAGACAAGGAGUAUAUGCUGAUUGUCGUGCAGAACACCAACGAAUAACAAUAGCCAAGCAUUCCCUCUCGCCGGCCCCUGUGUGUGUCUCCCUGUACUCCAUUAAGUUCACUUAUUUCUGAAAGCAAAGCCGCGCUAUCAUGCCAACAUGGAGUCCAGGUAGGUGUUGCUGUGAUGUGCAAGUUAGUGCACCACAUUAAAACUGAUUACUUCUUUA